GGGGCAUGUUGAUUUUAAAUCCUUUGGAUCUUUUCUAUCAUUUUAAAUAUAUUUUAUUGCCAAGUUUGUAACUCUCAUUCUUUUGAAUAAUUAAGAAAUGUGUGUGUGUGUGUGUGUGUGUGUGUGAGAGAGAGAGAGAGGGGGUGUUCUCUCGCUCAUACCCUCUUAUAGAAGAAAUGAUGUUACCCCA
rnacentral:sRNA from 1 species